UACAGAGGGGGCAAGCGUUGUUCGGAAUUACUGGGCGUAAAGGGCGCGUAGGCGGCCUUCUAAGUCGAACGUGAAAUCCCUGGGCUCAACCCAGGAACUGCGUCCGAUACUGGGAGGCUUGAAUCCGGGAGAGGGAUGCGGAAUUCCAGGUGUAGCGGUGAAAUGCGUAGAUAUCUGGAGGAACACCGGUGGCGAAGGCGGCAUCCUGGACCGGCAUUGACGCUGAGGCGCGAAAGCCAGGGGAGCAAACGGGG
rnacentral:rRNA from 1 species